GCCCUCUUGGUGAAAUGGAUAUCACGUCAGGCUUCGAACCUGAACUUGGAGGUUCAAAUCCUCCGGAGGGCACCA
rnacentral:tRNA from 1 species